UAAUUAUAAUAUACUGCAUUAACAGAAUGAAGGAAGAAAACAUAUGAUUAUCUCAGUAGAUGCACAAAAAGCAUUUGACAAAAUUUUACAUCUUUUCAUGGUACAAACUCAACAAACUAGGUAAUGUACUUCAACACAAUAAAUGCCAUGUAUAACAAGCCCACAGCUAACAUCAUACUAGUGCAAAGUUAAAAAUGUUUCCUCUAAGAUCCAGAACAAGACAAGGAUGCCCACUCUCACCAUUUCUAUUCAACAUAAUAUUGGAAAUCCUCACCAAAGCAAUUAGGCAACAAAAAUAAAAGGCAUCCAAAUUAGGAAAAAGUUAAAUUGUCUCUUCUCACAGAUGACAUGAUUUUGUUUCUAGGAAACCCUAAAAAUGUCAUCCCCCCCAAAAAAAAGUUAGAAUAAAUGAAUUCAGUAAAGUUACAAGAAACAAAUCAACAUACAAAAAUCAGUAGUAUUUCUAUUGCUCACAUUAGAAGCUUUCCUCAUAUGUCUGAUGGUCUUUGGUUAUGUUUACAUAUUUGAGGCAUUAAAAAACUGAUUAAAGGCUUCAAAACAUGGGUGAGUCUUGUUGAAUAUGAGUUUCUUUAUGCAGUGAUCUGGCUGGAACUCUCAAUGUCAAUUUCUUAAGAUGUUUCCUCUUGAGCUAGUCAGGUUUCCCAGAGAAGGUAUGUCCAAUCUUCUACCUGCAAGGUGAACUCCUGGAUUCCAGUGUUCUCGCAGCUGAUUGUUUUGGAAAUUUUGUAGUGUAAAUCCAGUUCCCUCUCUGCUUUCCCAAAGCUGCCCAAGGAUGUAGUUUUCUCAAGUUUGUUGUUAUUUACUACAUGCUUCCAACACAUUGCUAUAAUUGUCUCUUUUCUCAUUCUUUUCACCCUUGAUUUAUAAUAUCCAGGAGUUUGGGAUGGAGUGAAAAUAGAAGAAUGCAUUCAAUCCACCAUCUGAACCAGAAUUCACAAUUUGUGUUGUCUCUUCAUUUUUGGCUUAACACAAAAAUUUGAUUCAUAUAAUUUAUACAGUCAUACACCUUUUCUUUCCAGGGGUUAUAGUGAUAUUUGUUGAGUAUCCUGUGGUUUAUAACUUUUUUCCACUCUUGAUCCCAUUUGGUUUUUACUAUGUCAUAGUGUUAUAGAAACUAUUAUUCCUCAUUUUUAAGUAUGAAAAAACUCAGGUUUAGAGAAGCUGUACCGUAUUUAAUUUUCAUUACUUGGUAAGGAGUUGAGAUAAGACUCCAAAACCAGAUUUCCUGACUCCAAAUUUGACUUUUCUUUUGUCACCUGCAUCAGGCAUUUUUUUUGCGAACAGUUUCUGUGAGUUGAACUAGUCAAUCUGCAAGGCAGUCUUUUUUUGCCAGUGGAUGGAUAGUAUUCAGCUGUCAUGGAUGAAACAUAAUGGGGUUGCAAAAGUUGAGGAAUUCUGAGUCUAGGAUGUUCGAUGAGUGUUGAAGUUGUCCUUGGUGAUGGCAGGUAGGCUGUGAGUGAAAUGCCAGAACUCCCAAAGAAGGAUGGUGGUGACUGACGGGAGGUCAAUAGAUGACAGCAACAAGGCAGGCAAAAAAAAAACGUGGUGUAUCUGAGCAGCCUAAAUCUCAAAGGAGGAAGAGAUCUUAGUUUGGGUAGAUAGUAGAUGUAUAAAGAGAAGACUGGUGCAGACUGACUUUGCAAAAGGUUGACCUUCCCUCCUGGUCCCUGUAAGAAUGAGGUCUGUCACAGAAUUAGGUCUUACAGAAUCCAAAUAAGACAGGGAGGGGGAGGAAACAUUGGGUAUAUAGACUGAAGAUGUAGAUGGGAUAAUGAGAGAAUGAGGUUUGGAAAGAAUUGGGAUGAGAAUUAGUGAAAAGAAGAGUUGGGAGAAAGUAGGUUCAGAGCAAUUCAAGGUUGUGUAUGUGACCUUGAGUGAAAUAAUAAAAAACUUUGCAGCUAGGGUAGUUGAGGAUAGCAGCAAGGCAGUUAGAGCUUUGUUUCAGUCUCUUCCUUUUUCCACUGGAAGCGUGUCUGUCUUUACCUGUAGCAUGUCCUGGCUUGCCAGCCUGGCCCACAGGGCUCUUUCUUGUCUGUGACCGCCAAAGGCAUUGCGUGAAGGAUUUGGGCUGAAGCCAAAGUAAAUAGCAGCUGAGAGACACACAACAGUUGGUGUCUGGCUCAGAUGACUCUGGCGCCUUCCUAGACAAUCCUCCUCCCCACAAAAUGUCUGCCUGGCUCAAUGAAAAUGAAAAUUAACAUUUGUACAGUGCUUUGGGGUUUACCAGCCACUUCCACAAACAGCACUUCAUUUCAUCCUCCCAACUCUGCUGGUGGUAAGUACUAUGAUUCCCAUUUUACAGGUGGAGAAAGCCUCAACUCCCUCCAUUAUAACUGAUUGACAUUCAGUAAUUCAAUAACUCACCCUGAAUAUCAGCUUUCUUAGUAAUAAAAUGGAGAUAAGACCUAUCAUGAAGUUGUUUUGAGGAUUAAAUAGGAUUAUAUGUGUACAAUGCUUACACACAGUUGACAUUCCAUAAAUGUUCAUUCUAUAGCCCCACUUAGAUGAGUCAUCCCAAUUGGAGUCUCCAUCUGCCCUUGCCAAUAAGGAACAAGCCAUUUCUAAAGGGUGAAAGCAAUAAUUUAUAAAUAUGCAGCUUUAGUGACUGUGAUAUAUUAUGAGGAUGGCCCCAGAAAUUUCUUCCAUUCCUAGAUACAUGCUUCUUUGCAAUGUUAAUUUGUCAUCCAAUAAAAGGCAGAGUCUAUUUCCUCUGCCCCUUGAAUAUGGGCUGGCACUACGAUGUGCUUUGAUCAAUGGAAUGUGGCAGAAGUGACAUUGAGCCCUCAGUGUCUGCUUUCACCUUCUUGAUGCCCUGUGACUUCCAAGCUUAAGAAAGCCCAGACUGGUCUCCUUGAGGAUGAGUGAUCACAUGGGGAGAGUGUCCUACUCCUCUCAGUAGUUCCAGCCAUCUCCACUGAGGCCUGAGACAUGUGAUGGAGGCUGGCUGGGACCAGUUAGUCUUUCUCCAACUCCCCACCCCUUCACCUGCCAACUGACUGCAGUGCACAUGACCUCAGGUGAGACUGGCAGAGGAACUGCCCAGCUGAACCUCGUCCAAAUUAUAGAAGCAUAAGCAAAUACAUGGUUUACAUGGUUGCUAUUGUAGGCCACUAAAUUUUGAGGUAGACUGUUGGGAGGAAAUAGAUAAGCAAUGAAUGAUUAAGGUGAGACAGAAGGAAUAUAUUUAGAGGCUAAGAUUGUGCAGAUACUGAACAGGCGUAAGAAGGGAGUUCACAGCAUCUUUGUCCUGUAACUAUGGUUGAUUGUUAUGAACCUAAUGAAUUUGUGAAGACCUACUGCUCUGAUACAUGUAAUUCUUUGGAUAAACAGAUAGGCUAUAAUCUUACAUCCAGGGAGUUCCAAGCUGAGAGUCUCAUUAACUUCCACCUCAUCCUUAUGAUCAAUAAAGGGUCAGACCAUCUGUGUCUGAUAGAGGGUCUUGGGAAUAUCCCCGAUAUCCUCAGUCAAGCUUGGGGCCAAACCUCUCAGUCCUUGAUCUCUAUCAAUCCUCGCGGCCAUGUGGUGAGAGCAUGCUCACCUCAUCAUCAUCUAAUCAGCUCCUCAGAGAUCUCUAAAUGGUUCUGGAGGAAAUAAUGCUCAGAAAAGUGGAUAUGGAAACAGGCAGGAUGGAAAUAAGGUAUUUCAGCAUAAGCUGAACUGAUUAUUCCAGACCUGACCCUGUCUGGGCCAAUUUAAGCAUUUCAGAGGAAUUUUGGUCUGAAGAGGCUGAGAUGAUCCCUGAAGUCCUUUACAACCAAAGUGAAACAUCAGAAGCAGAUUGUUCUUCUCUGAGCAGGGAAGGCCAUGGUGUAAUUCUCAGAGCAUCUGGUAGUUUCUACCCUGAACUUGCCCACAGACAGGGGAGAAGGCCAAAGUGACUUCGUGCAGUGAAAACCAAACCACGUUCUCCCUGAAGAUCAAACAAAGAAGCUGGUUUCUGAGAAGUUAGUCCGCGGGCCAAUGGGAAAACACUAAUAAAAUCCACAUGCUUUGGGAUGCAGGUUGCUGUGUAGAUUCUAAGAGUCCUCCCUUCCUUCUUAGGUUCAGUCCUAGUGCCACCAUCCCUAAUGCACUAGGAUCCAUUUUAUUAGGUUGGUGAGAAAGUAAUCGCGGGUUUUGCCAUUACUUUUAAUGUAACGCAUGAUUACUUCUGCACCAACAUAACAGUUAAAUCUCUCUCACUGCCCCUCUUGUUCUCUUUGUCAACAGCAGAGAUGAGGUGAAGAUGAGGAACAGCAGAGAUGCUCUUCCUCUCUCAGGGAGAGCAGAAGUGGCUCUGGUUUCUGAGCUCUGCUUUCUCCACACAACUUCAAUGUCCGUGAGUGUGGGGAGGAGAGAGGGUGAGACUGCCAGCUGGACCCACCACGGCUCAAUGCUAAGUGCUUGAAGCGUGGUACGCAGCCCUCCUAUGUGCCCCGUCAGCAAGCCAGCAUCAUUUUAGAGGCUCCGAGGAGACUCAGCCUGCUGGAAAGGACACCAGGGAUAAGGAAAUCUGGCUCCAGCACGGACCUGUUGCAUGAAUUUAAGCAGAGUAAGAAACUGAGGUCCAGAGAGGCAAAGUGGUUUUCCAAAGUCACCACAUGUCAGAUACCAUCAGAAUCUGUUGCCUCCAAGCCCUUUGCUUUUCACACCACACUGAGCCACCUCUUGUGUAUUUACUUCUCCGAGCCUGAGUUCCACCAUCAUUAAAACAACAACAAUUUUACUGUGUGAGGUGAGAGAACUGGGGCUUAGAGAGAUUAGAAACCUGCCCAAGCCAAAGCCCGUACUCCUAGCCAUCUUGCUAUAUAAGUUCCCAUCUUUCAUAUGGAAUCCCUACCCACCUCACCAGGUGAUACUGAAGAUAAAAUUAGGUGGUGCGUGGGAAAAUGUUUUUUGCAAGUUAAACAUGUGUAGCAUAAAUGUAAGGAAAAAUAAAAAUCUAUACUCCUGAAGAUCUUAUAACAAAGCUCAGAAGAACUCCCCAAAAAACUGACACAACCACACAUCUUCACUGACAUUAAGUAGCAGAGACAGCUAUAUAAACAACCUGCAACAGGAGGAUCCUAGAGCCCGGAAGCAUUAGUCCUGGAGGACUUCCUGAAAGAGAGAAAUCAUAGUCACUGGUUUGAAUGGACUAAUCAAGACCUAUGAACUGCUGUCUGCACUAAUAUCCACUUUCCCAGAGAUCAAAGCCACGUGGCCGGAGAGAGAGACUUUCAGCUGCUUUUCUUGCAUCCUUUUCUGAUCAGAGUGAUUUAUCACUUGAAUGCCAUCAUCAGGUCACAGGCUUUUUACUUCAGAUAUUUGGUAUCAGACUGUUGAGUAUCAGAUGAUUUAGCAUUUGAGUUUAUGCUUAAUCUGUCUUAUAAACAACCCCGUGAUUUAAAAGAAAAAAAAUAUAAAACCUGUUAUAUGAGAAAAGACUUGUCUACAGAACUCUAAGAAAUGGGAGGAGGCAAUACUUAGGAAAUCCAAUAGGCCUCAUUUAAUCUCUUCUUCCUUUAACCCAGGGAUAGACCUGCAUAUUGUGAUGAGGACAUUCUAUCCCUGAGCCAGGGUGAAAUGGUGCAGGGUGAGGGCAUAGUUCCUCACUGUGCAGGGAGGAAGAACAGGGAUCCUUCAGCCCCAUUUUUCAGAGGGAGAGGCUCUGAGAUUCCCGGCUCCUCUUGACCCUGAACUCACCAUUGUAUUUUUGGGAAGAAUACCCACAGUACUUCCACAGACAGAAAAACCUCGAGGGCAAGGCCCAAGUGUUAUGGUUCCUACGAUCUCUCUACUAACCUCAAAGAAUAAACUACAACAUUCUAAGCAAAUGGAUCUCUAUGUGGCCCCUGCCAGGAAAAUUGUCUGAGUCUGGUACUAGCCCUUCAAAUCCAGAAGAGCUGGGCCCUUAGGUGGUGCUGAGCGUGUAGAAGAGGGGUUGCAAACCAGCUUUCCUAGUUGCUAUGACCACAGAUCCUAGGGACCUCUUCAGUGUUAAGUUUCUCCCCAGACCCCACUGCUGCCCUGUGGGUUUGCUGGAUAUCACUUCUUACACCAAGAGCUGCCUUUCCUCACCUUUGCCCUGCCAUUUGAUGUCCCAAGUCUUGACCAGGCCUGCGUGGCCUCAUCUUGAUAGCACCUUCACCAUAGUAAGUAUUCAGUAUCUGGAUUGGCAGACCACCAGGCGGGCCCAGUGAGAUUGGCUGGUACCCAGUAGCAACUCAAUCCAUACUCCAUGAACGAUUGAAGGAAGUAUGAAAUUCCAGCCAUGCUUCCCAAGGGAGAGUCUGCAGCCCUGACUCAGACAGAGACGGUAACAGGAGAAGUUUGAACCACCCAUCACCACUCCAGCCUGGAGGCUCUGUGGGAAGAGACCAGGAGCAAGGGAGAAAGAGUAGGCCCUUGCUCUGGACAGAUCCUCUAGUGCUGCCGCUGUGAGGCCAGAGCCCUUGUAAGGAUGAGAAAGGAAGAAGUGUCUUCUCUACAGCUCCGGCUAAGUCCAAGCAACCUCAGCAUUUCUUCAUUCAGAACCUUUGCUCAGCCUAGGAUGUGUUGAGGACAUAAAGAACGAAGUGAUGAGUGCUGCCCUGACUCUCAGGGGUCCCAAAGGGGUCAUCUGUGGUCUGACGAUCCUCCUGGCUAAAUGGUUCCUACAGCUGUUGCUUAGGUUCAGAAGAAAAGGGGCUUCCACACAUCCAUACCUCAUCUGCUAGGAUUAAUAUUAAAAGAUAAGGCUAGUGGUGUUGCAGCCUCCUGACAUCAUCCUGGUCAGUCCACCUUAAAGAUGGAACUUCACAGAAACGAAGGGGUGGAGAGGAGUUGUAUGAAACCAGACAUCUUCUGAAUUCUGCAGAAAAUGCUAUGGCCAGAUUCACUGUACGGAUUCUGAUAAAUGCCAGAGGUGAGAAGGGGGUUUGGAUGUGGUCACAGUCAGUCAUAGGGCUGCAAUACAGCCCGUAUGUCUCUGGCUUUUUUAAAGAUUAAUUCACAAAACAAAAAGUUCUCAAGUGUGCCUGGUAAUGACAGGAGCUCAGUAAAUAGUUGUCGAUAGACUGACCCAGCAUGUCCCUAGCUGCCUGUAUACUGGUUGCAUAGAGCCAUUUUCCCAGAGGCCGAGGCAGAUCUGAACCAUGACUAGAAUCCACGCAGGUGGUGAUGUACACGUGGCAGCCUUUCCAUUCCACUCAUCCGUAGCCUGUGUUGGCCAGGAGAGAAGCUCUGAAUAGUAACUUCUCUAUAUUUUUGCCGUUAAAAAUAACAAACCCUGGGCACUAGAUCAGGAGCUAUUUCUUUCCUUGUAGACAAGUAGGUCCUGCAUGGAGAAGCAAGCCUCUUCUGCCCAGAGGAUCCAUAGUCAAAUGCUUGCAGAGGAGAUUAUAUUCUAGAAGCUCUGAAAUAGUCAGAAAUGCCCCCAGGCUUUCUGAGGGAGGGAUUCAUUCCAACCCAAAAGGAUGUCUCUAUACAGGCUCAUGUGAGCAUGGGGUAGCUAAAGGAGUCUUGGGCAGCAAGCACCUGCACACCUGGCAAGGGCCACGGUGACAGGUGAGACGGGUCUGAAGUGAGGGCAAAAGGACGUGGCUUUAUGGAACCUCAGACUGACUUCAGAGACACCCACCUUCUGCCCCUGCCAGCUGCUCAGCCUGGCCCCCAGGGCACCUCCCCAAAAGCUUACCAGUCAUUCUCUAGCGAUGGUAUUUGUCACACACUGGCAUUUCCUACACUCCUUCUACUGACCACAUCUCCGGGGACUGCUGGGAGCCCACUGACCAAGCUCCCGUGGAUGUGAGUCAGCAGGCUGGCAUGCUUAAGAAAGGGGUGUUUGGUCCUGGCUUGAGAGCUUCCCAGACCCCGCAUUCCUGCUCCCCUGCUGUAUCAAAGCCCCCAGAUCACCAUUUCUUAGAAAGAUAAGAAGGGCAUUCCAUCCAGUCUUGGGCCUCUUUGAUGUUCCUGCCCCAUUGGUAUCCCCAGAGGGAGAGCAUCAACAUUAUUCCUUUCGAACGGCACUGGAUGAAAACAGAAGAAUCGUUGAGAAGCUGUUAAACAUUUAGAUUCCUGGGCCCCACUCAAGACAUUCUCUGGGGUGGAGGGUCAGAAGUAGGAAGCAGCAAUCUGCAUUCAAAUACAUCCUCCAGGAGCUUUUAAGACCCUGCCAGGACUAGGAAUCACUAAACAUUUAAAGAGUAUAACAACUU